UACGUAGGGGGCGAGCGUUGUCCGGAAUUAUUGGGCGUAAAGGGUUCGCAGGCGGUCUUUUAAGUCAGAUGUGAAAUACAUAGGCUCAACCUAUGUCAGCAUUUGAAACUGGAGGACUUGAGUUAUGGAGAGGAAAGUGGAAUUCCUAGUGUAGCGGUGAAAUGCGUAGAUAUUAGGAGGAAUACCAGUGGCGAAGGCGACUUUCUGGACAUUAACUGACGCUGAGGAACGAAAGCGUGGGGAGCAAACAGG
rnacentral:rRNA from 1 species